UUUAUCACUAGCACUGUGAACGGUGUCCUAGGUGUACCCUAGCCUGGGUGCAAUCCGUUUUGUAACGUUACAAGACGGGUGGCACCCAGGCUAGCCGUACCCUCAUCCAAGGCUCUAGCCUCAGCGCCUACAUCGGCUACAUAUAGCGGCGAGAAGCAGAACUCCAGUCAGAAGCUCUGAAGAAGGUGUCUGAUAGACAUGGAAACGUCAGCACUUUAUAGACAUCCCCAGUGAUGCCAGGGCGGUGAAAUGCAGCUCCAGACACGAUGUUGCUGUCAGGACGACCAGUGAGCCAUGAUCAGCCGCUGUAGUCGUCAUUGUCUUCACCG